GAGUUUGAUCGUGGCUCAGGAUGAACGCUGGCGGCGUGCCUAAUACAUGCAAGUCGAGCGAACAGACGAGGAGCUUGCUCCUCUGACGUUAGCGGCGGACGGGUGAGUAACACGUGGAUAACCUACCUAUAAGACUGGGAUAACUUCGGGAAACCGGAGCUAAUACCGAAUAAUAUAUUGAACCGCAUGGUUCAAUAGUGAAAAACGGUUUUGCUGUCACUUAUAGAUGGAUCCGCGCCGCAUUAGCUAGUUGGUAGGGUAACGGCUUACCAAGGCGACGAUGCGUAGCCGACCUGAGAGGGUGAUCGGCCACACUGGAACUGAGACACGGUCCAGACUCCUACGGGAGGCAGCAGUAGGGAAUCUUCCGCAAUGGGCGAAAGCCUGACGGAGCAACGCCGCGUGAGUGAUGAAGGUCUUCGGAUCGUAAAACUCUGUUAUUAGGGAAGAACAAAUGUGUAAGUAACUAUGCACGUCUUGACGGUACCUAAUCAGAAAGCCACGGCUAACUACGUGCCAGCCGCCG
rnacentral:rRNA from 1 species